rnacentral:rRNA from 1 species
GACGAACGCUGGCGGCGUGCCUAAUACAUGCAAGUCGAACGCUUCUUUUUCCACCGGAGCUUGCUCCACCGGAAAAAGAGGAGUGGCGAACGGGUGAGUAACACGUGGGUAACCUGCCCAUCAGAAGGGGAUAACACUUGGAAACAGGUGCUAAUACCGUAUAACAAUCGAAACCGCAUGGUUUUGAUUUAAAAGGCGCUUUCGGGUGUCGCUGAUGGAUGGACCCGCGGUGCAUUAGCUAGUUGGUGAGGUAACGGCUCACCAAGGCCACGAUGCAUAGCCGACCUGAGAGGGUGAUCGGCCACAUUGGGACUGAGACACGGCCCAAACUCCUACGGGAGGCAGCAGUAGGGAAUCUUCGGCAAUGGACGAAAGUCUGACCGAGCAACGCCGCGUGAGUGAAGAAGGUUUUCGGAUCGUAAAACUCUGUUGUUAGAGAAGAACAAGGAUGAGAGUAACUGUUCAUCCCUUGACGGUAUCUAACCAGAAAGCCACGGCUAACUACGUGCCAGCAGCCGCGGUAAUACGUAGGUGGCAAGCGUUGUCCGGAUUUAUUGGGCGUAAAGCGAGCGCAGGCGGUUUCUUUAGUCUGAUGUGAAAGCCCCCGGCUCAACCGGGGAGGGUCAUUGGAAACUGGGAGACUUGAGUGCAGAAGAGGAGAGUGGAAUUC